rnacentral:rRNA from 1 species
ACUUUGAUUAUGGCUCGGGACGAACGCUGGCGGCGCGCCUAACACAUGCAAGUCGAGCGGGAAGCUUUUUAAGGAUUCUUCGGAUGAAUUAAAAAGUGGAGAGCGGCGGAUGGGUGAGUAACGCGUGAGAAACCUGCCCUAUACAGGGGGAUAGCCAUUGGAAACGAUGAUUAAUACCCCAUAUGACCACAGUAUCGCAUGAUACAGCGGUGAAAACUCCGGUGGUAUAGGAUGGUCUCGCGUCUGAUUAGCUAGUUGGUGGGGUAACGGCCUACCAAGGCGACGAUCAGUAGCCGGCCUGAGAGGGUGACCGGCCACACUGGAACUGAGACACGGUCCAGACUCCUACGGGAGGCAGUAGUGGGGAAUAUUGCACAAUGGGCGAAAGCCUGAUGCAGCGACGCCGCGUGAACGAUGAAGGCUUUCGAGUCGUAAAGUUCUGUUCUCGGGGAAGAUAACGGCGGUACCCAAGGAGAAAGCACCGGCUAAAUACGUGCCAGCAGCCGCGGUA